rnacentral:lncRNA from 10 species
AUCCCCCAUCCUCGGACCUCUUUUCACCUACCUCCAUAUGAGGCUUUCUCAGAAAUGGCAAGUUAUCAACCAAAGGAGCCUGCUGUGUGGAGAAGAUGAGGCUGCAGAUGAAAACCCAGAGUCUCAAGAGAUGCUGGAGGAGCAACUGGUGAGGAUGUUAACCCGAGAAGUCAUGGACCUAAUCAGUAAGUGGCAUGUCGAAACUGGGGCUAUAGAGGAUUUUCCUGGAAGAAGAGCUGGUCGCUCAGCCAACUCCAUGAAGGCCUGACUAAUGCAAAGGAUUCAUGUUUGCGGCGGGCAUGGUGGAUUGCGAGGUCAAAAGAUCAAGACCAUCCUGGCCAACAUGGUGAAACCCUGUCUCUACUAAUAAUACAAAAAUUAGCUGGGCGUAGUGGCGCGCAGGCCUGUAGUCCCAGCUACUCAGGAGGCUGAGGUAGGAGAAUCGCUUGAACCCGGGAGGCGGAGGCUGCAGUGAGCCGAAAUCACGCCACUGCACUCCAGCCUGGCAAAAGAGUGAAACUCCGUCUCAAAAAAAAAGUUCAUGUUUGUAGCAACACUGACAGAUCCAAAAGAAAUAACUAGAUAGAAGCAAGGCAGUCCUUAAGUCAACCUAAGGAUACUUUAUGAAUUGCA